rnacentral:rRNA from 1 species
AUGGGCUCGCGGUACGAGGUGGAGAUCACCGUCGGCUCCGCCCGCGACCUCAAGAACGUCAACUGGCGCAACGGCGACCUCAAGCCCUACGCCGUGCUCUGGAUCGACGCCGGCGCGCGCUGCUCCACCCGCGUCGACCUCGACAACGGCGACAACCCCGCCUGGGACGAGAAGGUGCUCGUCCCGCUCCCGCCCGCCAGCCGCCUGGAGGACGCCGUGCUCUACAUCGACGUCGUCCACGCCAACGCCGCCGAGGGCGUCAAGCCGCUCGUCGGCUCGGCCCGGCUCCCUCUCCGCGACGUCGUCGACGACGCCGGCGUCGGGGGCAAGGCGUCCAGGAACCUGAGGCUGAAGCGCCCCUCCGGGAGGCCCCAGGGGAAGCUUGACGUCCGCGUCGCCGUCAAGGAGCCGGCCAGGUACUACGACUCCAACGUCCCUGGCGGCUACCCGGCGCCCGCGGGGUACGGCUCCUCCCGCGAUGCCUACGGUGGUGGGUAUGGUGCCGGAGCCGGCGCGUACGGCGCCGCGGCGGGGGCCGGAGGCUACGGAGCGUACGCGGCCGCGGCGCCUCCGUCGGGGUACCCGGGCUACGGCUCCACCGCGCCGCCUCCCCAGGCCGCAGCACCGUACGGCUCCGCUCCACCUCCCUACGGCGCCGCGCCCCCGGCUCAGGGAGCAGGCGCCUACGGCUCCUCUGUUCAGCCGGCAUACGGCGCCGCACCGCCGACUCAGGGAGCGGGCGCGUACGGCUCCUCUGCUUCUGCUUACGGCGCGGCGCAGCCGGGUCAGGCGGCGGGGUACGGUGGCACGACGGGGGUGGGCCUGGACCAGAGCGGCGGGAAGACGAAGAAGAAGGGGAUGGGGAUGGCGGGCGGGCUGGCGGUGGGCGCGGCGGCGGGCGUGCUGGGCGGGCUGGCGCUGGCGGGCGGGGCGAGCUACGUGGAGCACAAGAUCGAGGACCACGUGACGGAGCGCGUGGAGGAGGACAUGUACCGCGGCGGCGGCGGUGGGUACGACGACUACGGCGGCGACGACGACUACUAG